CAGCCGCCGCGGUAAUACGGAGGGAGCUAGCGUUGUUCGGAAUUACUGGGCGUAAAGCGCGCGUAGGCGGUUACUCAAGUCAGAGGUGAAAGCCCGGGGCUCAACCCCGGAACUGCCUUUGAAACUAGGUGACUAGAAUCUUGGAGAGGUCAGUGGAAUUCCGAGUGUAGAGGUGAAAUUCGUAGAUAUUCGGAAGAACACCAGUGGCGAAGGCGACUGACUGGACAAGUAUUGACGCUGAGGUGCGAAAGCGUGGGGAGCAAACAGGAUUAGAUACCCGGGUAGUCCCUGUCUCUUAUAC
rnacentral:rRNA from 1 species